rnacentral:rRNA from 1 species
GUCCAGACUCCUACGGGAGGCAGCAGUGGGGAAUAUUGGACAAUGGGGGGAACCCUGAUCCAGCGACGCCGCGUGAGUGAAGAAGUAUUUCGGUAUGUAAAGCUCUAUCAGCAGGGAAGAAAGAAAUGACGGUACCUGACUAAGAAGCCCCGGCUAACUACGUGCCAGCAGCCGCGGUAAUACGUAGGGGGCAAGCGUUAUCCGGAUUUACUGGGUGUAAAGGGAGCGUAGACGGCAGUGCAAGUCUGAAGUGAAAGGCGGGGGCCCAACCCCCGGACUGCUUUGGAAACUGUGCUGCUGGAGUGCAGGAGAGGCAAGUGGAAUUCCUAGUGUAGCGGUGAAAUGCGUAGAUAUUAGGAGGAACACCAGUGGCGAAGGCGGCUUACUGGACUGUAACUGACGUUGAGGCUCGAAAGCGUGGGGGGCGAACAGGAUUAGAUACCCGAGUA